CUCUCAGGUAUCCCAUCUGUUUCAGUGCCCUGCCUGUUGCAAGCCUCCUGGCCCAUGCUGGCCAGUUCUUCUCUUGUCAGGGAAGUUAGAGAAAGAAGCCACCUUCCUGCCCUCCUGCGUGUGGUGUGAAGAGAGGUGCCUUACAAGCAAGUGCCUUCAUGGUGAGGAUAAGCUCACAGGCUCAAGGAAGAAACACAAUUGUAAGAACAACAAUGUGGAAAAGGCAGGAUCCAAGUAUUUUGAGCCACUCUUGAUGAUAGAAUUGGUGAUGUGACAGCCACCAAAGGAAUGUGACACAAAGUAGAAAUGAGAGCUGAGAUGUAGCCUGGACCUUUACCAUGGAAAUGCCCAUAAAUUGCGUCCCUAUUCCUUAAGAUUUUAUUUAAAGUUAUUUUCAGAAUGUUGUGCAGUUUCCAAUCAUACCAAAAUCUUCAAAAAAAAAAAAACCCCACAUAAUUUACAUUUUAAAAGCACUAUUGUUGUCAUGAUAAUGGUGGCAAGUAAUUUUCAAAUUUGGGUUAUUUUAGAAACAGGUUAAAAGAAGACAACUAUAAUAUAAUCCCAAUAAACAAAAGCAAAUAAAAAGGCUAAAUCAUGG
rnacentral:lncRNA from 1 species